UAACAGCAGACAAUUUGGGAUUAGGUCUGGACCUUCCCAAAUUAAUAAUUUACCUUUUAUGUGAAGCAUCCUUGUGCAAUUACAAAAUCUUUACUUUAGAAAGUGUUUCAAAACAGCACAAAGGCAGCUCCUUCUUGCACAUAGCUUUCCAAAAUGGAUGGAGAUAAGUUUACGGAUGAGUUCCGAUCUUACCGAGGGAAAACUCUUACUGAAAGGCCGUUCUUACCAAUCUACGCACUGCUGGGUGUCUCUUACUUGCUGGUUGUCAUUGGCUUGGCAGUGGCGCUUUCAAAA